rnacentral:rRNA from 1 species
UUUCACUGAAACAAGGGGAAGGCUCAAAUGGGGCAUUUGCCCCCGAGGCAGCAGUAAAGAAUUUUGUGCAAUAUACGAAGGUAAGACACAGAGAGGGCACCUUACCUAGCCUGUCAAAUUAAGUGCCAGCAGACGCGGUGAAACUUAAGGGCUAGUUUUAUAGACAAAAGCGUAAAGGGUGUGAUCGGCCGUUUUAUAAUUUAAGAAGGUAAAUGGAAUUUUUUUGUAGCGGUGGAAUGUGUGAAUAAAAAAAAGAACCUUAGACGUGAAGGCUAUUUAUUUCUGAGAUUAUAAUGUGAUGGUUAAAACACGAGAGUAUGGGGAGCAAACAGGAUUAGAGACCCUGGUAGUCCAUACUGUAAAUAAUGAAGAGAAUGUGAAGCAAUCCUAAAAAGUAAGAAAUUUUCCGCUUGAGUAGUACGAUCGCAAGGUUAAAAUUCAAAAAACUUGGCUGUUCACUGUUUUAAUUAGAGGAGCGUGUCGUUUAAUUCGAUAGUCCGCGAGAGACCUCACCCAAACUUGAAUCCCCCAUUGACAGGUAUUGCAUGGCCGUCGUCAAUUUGUGUAUUAAACAUAAAACAGAUUCAACCCAGGGUUAUUGGAUGAAGUCAGGUCUUAUUGUCCUAACGUUUGGGGAUUAGAUGCGCUACAUUUUUUUAUACAAUGGGAAACUUUGAAUGUGAAACCCUAAAAUAAGAGUUCGGAAGGUUCCUGGAAGAUAACAGAAAGUUGGAUUUAAUAGUAAUUGAAAAGUAGAGCGUUUCAAUGAACUUUUUUCGGUGUUAGUACAAAUAGCCCGUCGCCUUUGCUUAGACAGAUAAUUUGCUUGCUCUUCAAAGGGGUUGCUAAGAUCUCCGAGGCAGAGUAAGUCGUAACA